rnacentral:rRNA from 1 species
AUCACAUGCAGUCGAGCGGUAGCACAGAGAGCUUGCUCUCGGGUGACGAGCGGCGGACGGGUGAGUAAUGUCUGGGAAACUGCCUGAUGGAGGGGGAUAACUACUGGAAACGGUAGCUAAUACCGCAUAACGUCGCAAGACCAAAGUGGGGGACCUUCGGGCCUCAUGCCAUCAGAUGUGCCCAGAUGGGAUUAGCUAGUAGGUGGGGUAACGGCUCACCUAGGCGACGAUCCCUAGCUGGUCUGAGAGGAUGACCAGCCACACUGGAACUGAGACACGGUCCAGACUCCUACGGGAGGCAGCAGUGGGGAAUAUUGCACAAUGGGCGCAAGCCUGAUGCAGCCAUGCCGCGUGUGUGAAGAAGGCCUUCGGGUUGUAAAGCACUUUCAGCGGGGAGGAAGGCGRURAGGUUAAUAACCUUGUCGAUUGACGUUAMCCGCAGAAGAAGCACCGGCUAACUCCGUGCCAGCAGCCGCGGUAAUACGGAGGGUGCAAGCGUUAAUCGGAAUUACUGGGCGUAAAGCGCACGCAGGCGGUCUGUCMAGUCGGAUGUGAAAUCCCCGGGCUCAACCUGGGAACUGCMUUCGARACUGGCAGGCUAGAGUCUUGUAGAGGGGGGUAGAAUUCCAGGUGUAGCGGUGAAAUGCGUMGAGAUCUGGAGGAAUAACGGUGGCGAA